AUUGAACGCUGGCGGCAUGCCUUACACAUGCAAGUCGAACGGCAGCACGGGUGCUUGCACCUGGUGGCGAGUGGCGAACGGGUGAGUAAUACAUCGGAACAUGUCCUUUAGUGGGGGAUAGCCCGGCGAAAGCCGGAUUAAUACCGCAUACGAUCUACGGAUGAAAGCGGGGGACCUUCGGGCCUCGCGCUAUAGGGUUGGCCGAUGGCUGAUUAGCUAGUUGGUGGGGUAAAGGCCUACCAAGGCGACGAUCAGUAGCUGGUCUGAGAGGACGACCAGCCACACUGGGACUGAGACACGGCCCAGACUCCUACGGGAGGCAGCAGUGGGGAAUUUUGGACAAUGGGCGAAAGCCUGAUCCAGCAAUGCCGCGUGUGUGAAGAAGGCCUUCGGGUUGUAAAGCACUUUUGUCCGGAAAGAAAUCCUUGGCUCUAAUACAGUCGGGGGAUGACGGUACCGGAAGAAUAAGCACCGGCUAACUACGUG
rnacentral:rRNA from 1 species